AUUCUGCAAAACGUGAGCCCAACAGGAAGCUGCCUACAAAUUCAGGUAGCUUUUCUGCAUCUAAAAGAGGUCUUAAAGAUACUUUCAGAGAAAUGCCAGCAAAAGCUAUAGUCAUUUGGGGAAGAACAAGUCUGGAAGAAAAAUACACAGUGGACUAGGACCAAGAGGCCACCAGGAAAUGAAUUCUGCCAACAACUAUAUGAACUUGGAAGAAGAAUUUGAAACUCUGAUGAGACUCCAGACCUGGCUGAUAUUUUGACUGCAGUUCUGUGACACCCUAUGCAGCAGACCCGGCUAAGCUAAUCUGUGUCCCUGAAUCAUGGAAACUGUGAGAUAACUCCCCCAUAUUGUACGGUUUCAGUGGUAUUCAUUUCUACUGGAUGGAAGGAGAAAGAGCAUAGAGAAACACAUGCGGAAAGGCGUAAUGGGCCAGACUAAAAGUGGCUUGGAUUUUUCCCUUUCUCAGAAGAACUCUGUCACACGGCCACCCCUAAUUUCAAGGAAGGGGGCAGGGUGUAGCUGUUGAGCCAGUAAGAAGAUGAAGCAGAUUUCAGUGAACAAGAAGAAUCAGCCUCUGCACACUGUGUGAUUUUGAUGUACAACUGGUACAUGGUUGAAAACUCACAGGUGAACUAUAAUUUUUGAGUCAAAAUAAUCUAGGUCCCAAACCUAGUCACCUCACAGAUGUCUGACCUUAGGCAAGAUAUCUCCCCUCUCUAUGCCUCAAUCUUUUCUGUUCUUUUUAAGUGAGAAUUUUUAAAUCUGACAUCUUAAGAUUUUUAUGAGAUUGAAAUAAGAUAAUAUGUUUAAAAUCAUUAGAAUACUCGCUGGCACUUAAUGAAUAGUCAUAAAUAUUUUAUUCUAACUGCAUUGUUGGUUUGGAAGGAAAGGGAAACAAGUUCUGCUACUUGAGCUGAGAAAUCAGAUGCAGCAGUAUCAGAAUAAAUAUACUAUUUCAACUGAAUUAUUGGAUUGAGGAGGUGUGAAAAAGCAGAAUUUUAACACAACAGAAGAUUUUUUGCUCUUGUAAGAGAUACUGGGCAAGUGUUCCAGUUAGUGGGCAGCUCUCCUCCAGGUGGUCAUUCUGAGAUCCAGUCUCUUUUUAUCUGGUGGCUCUGCCAUACCCUGGGGCUUUAUCACCAUCUUAUCCAGUGUAGCAAGACACACUGGUGAUAGAGUAUGUAAUGUGGUCUGAGAGUUAGAUGUCUCAAUAACAGAAUAUUUGAUGUUCACAGAAAGAAAAAUUACUCUGAGAAUAAAGCAAAAGAAAUCUUAAGAUAUUAAGGGAUUGAAUAUGUUGGUAGAGCAGUUCUCAAGCUGAGAUUUCAAUAAUCUUGUUAUCAUGUAUUUCAAUUCAGGGAGUUUGAUAUACUUUUAGAUUUGACUUUGCCACAUAUAAGUCUGUACCACUACACCUAAGGAAGUCCAAGAGUACUCAGGUCCAGAAGUGGACCUGAGCUGUGCAGUACUUAUCAUUUGAAUCCAGUGAUACCAUGAAGGAUGAGCUGAAUUCUGUAUAGUUAGGAGGAUUAAUUUAUGAGUCGUUCUGAAGUCUGGAUUAGUAUGAGGACAUUGUCUAAUCAAUGAAGUUAUCUAUUAGAAGCAGAGAAUGAUCCUUGUUCAGCACUUCCUGAAGGUGAGUUAUGUACAGACUUGUUUUCCAAUAAUUUCCACUAGGCCACAAGAAUAUAUCUAUGCUCUUCCUGCCUUCAGAUUCCAACUGGAGGAAUUUAUUCCUAAUCAAAAUAACUAAGAGGAAAAUAUGUCCCUGUGUGCCCCAUCUUCUUGGUUUCUCUACCAUUUUCCAGCUUUCCUGGUUUCAAACCCCGUUUCCCCUACCCCCUUGGCAGACUCUUACACUUUUGGUGCUGUCCUCCCAAAUCAGCAUCUGAGAACAAGACUCCCUCCAUGUGACUUUCCUGAUUCCACUCAAGUUUACCCCUUAGACCUUGCCCUAGUUAUGAACUCUUGCUGACCUGAUAAACCUAUCAGGCCUGCCCCCCCUUCCCCCAUGGGCUUCAUUUACAAUGGUGGUGGUCAAUGUUCUCACCUCAGUAGGUCCCCUGCUUCUUCUGAACACUUGCCUUGGCUAGAUCAUCUAUCAGGGAGGUGGGAGGAAGAGGACAUUGGGGGUACCUUCCAUGUGCCAGUCCCACAGGCAUCAUUUCAUUUAUUACCUUGGUGCCCCUGGGAAAUUACUUGAGCACUGCAACUUCCUUUUCUACUUCUGCGAAAUGAAGAUGAUGACAAGUUCCCAGGAUCAAAUCAUAGCCACUGUCUAUUUAGGUCCUCACUAUGUGGCUGGGUCUCUGUUUAGUGUUAGAUGUACUAUCUAAUUUAAGCCCUAUAACAUCCCUAGGAAGUAGGUCUUAUAGCAUGCCCAUAUUUGUAGAUGAGGAAAUUGAGACAAGGGAAGGUUAGGCGACUCAAUCAAUUUGGGCAUAGUGCUUGGAUCUUCAGCGUUUCCAGGUAAUAUUGACUCAGUUGAUUUCCUUGCCUCUGAAAGUAUAGUGACAAUAGAAAAUUUUUAUGACUAGAGGCACCUUUAGCACAAAUAUCAUAGUCCCAUUAUGUGCUCUCUUCAGCAACACUUCUGUGGCGGCUCUUUGCCACAUGAGCCCACUUUACCCAAAACCAAGUAACACAAACUUAAAUCUGACCUAGUUUAAUAAAAAUGUGGGUUGUGGUUCAAUUGUUCAGUAAUUGAUUACUAAGAAUUUAAACAGUGUUUAACAACCACGAUAAAUGCAGUCUUUCUUUUGUGGUCUCUCUCAGAAACACUGCUAUUUCUCACUGUUUUAUACACACGGUAACUCCUUCCAAAUAACCUGCAAAUGCAUAGGAGUUACAUUCCCCCAAACACCAUAUCUCAAACGGUGUGGCUUUAAAGAGGGGUCAUGGAAUGGAUCUCAAGAUGAUGUUCCAGAUAACUCAAGCCCUAAAUGUUAUCCCUCAUGUUUGUUGUCUACAGUUUACUGGCAGUGGCCAGUAAACUGAAGCCCUGAUUCUGCUCCAAAAUAAUCUAUACUACUUACUUCCCUUUCAACAAGUAGACAAACUCAAGUGGAGAGAAAAGCAGCCUGAGCACAGGAGUGCUGGUAUCAAGAGGACAGUCAGACCAGUCAGCUGACACCCACUGGCUGUGGUUCCUACCACCACUUGCGCUACGUAGCUGAAGUGAGAAGGUACACGUGCAGUACAACCUUAGGGGAGCCAAGAGUCACCCCUGCCCUGCCAGCCACACCCUACUCGGUCUACCAGGCAGGAGGCGUUUCCACUGGUCAAGGUUUAUACACCAGAUUCCAAUGCAAGAGUGAGCUGGUGCCUUUCUGUUUCCUGCUGGGUUUUACAGGCCUCCUUCAGCUGCUCUGGGAUGUUAGAAUAAACGAUCUGUUUUGAGUGGGGAAAGGUUUGAUGUUCCUUUUGUGGGGGUGUUCAAUUCAUCAGAAGAAAAAAAGAGCCAGACUCUUGCUCUCAGUGGUGCAGUGUGGAAAUGUAGCACAUCCUACUCUGACAUUUCUCUUCUGCCUCCCUUAGCCCCAGUUGCUAGAUUGUGGUUUCCAGUUUGUUUUGCUUUUUCUUUCUCUUAAUUGGUUUUACUCUUCAUGCCAACUAUCUGCAGUCCUCUUAACUAAAGCCCUAAUACUUUUGAAAUAACAGGGAAAGCUGGUAUUAGCCACCUACCAAGACUGGAAAAAGGGUUUUGCAAAUGUUCCACCUUCAUGCUUUGUGCAGAGUGAGGCCUUCUGGCGGAUGCUCCUAGAGUAGUGGACUUCAGUAGUGUUUUCCUCCUGCCUCCAUGACUCCAGGUCCCUGGUCUCAUACAAGUAAAUCUACUAUCUCCCACCUAUCUCUCAGAGAAAGUCCGUCUUUCGAGACUCAUCUUUUCUGAACCUUGUAGCAGUAACCAUUAGGAAUCUCAGUAGUGCCUGACAUGUGAGGCUUUGAACCUUGGACAUGUGCCCCUGGCAAUUACUUGAUCUGGGGCCCUAAGCCAUUUGUCUGAUCAUUAAAGAUGUGAAAGAAACUAAUAUUU
rnacentral:lncRNA from 1 species